GCUCAAAAACAAACAGCCGAGGCGCCUCCAGCUCCGUGCUCUGCCACCGGCCGGGACGCCGAGCGGCGCUGGACCCGUCGGUCCUCGGUCGGGCGCGGCGGCUGAGGGCAGCGCGCCCCGCGUCGGGGGGCGGCCGUACCAAGGCCAGACGUCUUGCCCCGGGGUGUCCCGCACCUCUGCGCCUCCAGGGUGGGCCCAUGCGCUCCGGUCUCCGAGCCCCGUUGGGCUGCGGCUGCGGCCCCCAGCAAUGUCAAACCACUGUCUGAUCCAAUAUGUGGGUACCAUCUUCAUCCCUGACAGACAUCACCAGAUGAUGAGUAGGGGUCUGCUCUGAACUCCCUAAGGCCUGGGACUUGCAUGUCCAUCUCCCUAGGAGUUCAGGCAUGGGCAGGUAGCUUGAGCUGGAGACCCUGGAGCUGCAGAGGCAGAAGAACCUACUGUUUGGCCAAGAGGACUCAGGGCAUCUUUCAAGGAGAGGUUGUGAAGAUACUUGAUUUUCCCUGAGGACUGGGAAUGUCCUGGAAAUGCGAUGGCCAUGUGGCCAGCUGAAGGCAGAUGUAGAGCUGAAGCAGGGCCUAUGUGGGCUUGAUCUAAGAGAAGCCCUUAAACAGGAAGGUAAACAAAGGAGCUCCAGGAAGUCCCUGAAACUGACCAGACUCACUAAGCCCCACCCUGACAGAGGAAGAAACAAAGACUGCUGAGAGUCACCCUCAGAUGAAAAGAGCCAAGCUUGCAAAGAAGAUUUUGGAGACCAGACAGCUGCCUGGAAGAAGCAAAAACCAGUUCAGUUGCCAGGAAGAAGUUUAGGUCAACUUAGUCACUUGGAAAGGACACUCUCCAACCUGUUGAGCUGCCUACAGGCUGUGCAGUGUACUCCAGGUUCCCAGCUUUUGUGAUCUGUCACCCUUGCUGGGAUGGGUUUUAGUGAUAGAGCUGUCUUUGAGUCAUUUCUGCCCCUAUAAGUAACCCCUCGCCUAUAUUUCUGUAAGUAACCCCAAUAAAAUUCAUGGUUCACCAA